UAAAUGUUGGCCGGCUGAGAAAUAAAGAGU
rnacentral:piRNA from 1 species